rnacentral:rRNA from 1 species
GAAUAAGCUACAAAGGGCACAGGGUGGAUGCCUUGGCGCCAAGGGCCGAAGAAGGACGCGGUAGACUGCGUAAAGUCACGGGGAGCCGUCUGCAGGCGCAAUAUCCGUGAAUUUCCGAAUGGGGAAACCCACUGGAGCGAACCUCCAGUAUCUCCUGACUGAAUCUAUAGGUUUGGAGAAGGGCACCGGGAGAACCGAAACAUCCAAGUAACCCGAGGAACAGAAAACAUUCCGCCAGUAGUGGCGAGCGAACGCGGAGCAGCCCAAACCCACUGGUUUACCGGUGGGGGUUGUAGGACUCGACCGCCGCAAGGCCGCAAGGGAAAAAGUCGUUUUGGACUCGAACAGGUCUGGAAGGUCUGACCGCAGAGGGUGAGAGUCCCGUAGAGCAACAAAACGAACUUGCGUCGAGCACCUGAGUAGGACGGGGCACGCUAAUCCUGUCCGAAGCGGGGAGGACCACCUCCCAAGGCUAAAUACCGUUGGCGACCGAUAGUGAACGAGUACCGUGAGGGAAAGGUGAAAAGCACCCCGACGAGGGGAGUGAAAUAGUACCUGAAACCGUGUGCCUACGAGCAGUCCGAGGACGAUGCCAGAUUUCAGAUUUCAGAUUUUAGAUUGCAGAUUAAAAAAAAUCUGCCUUUUGAAAUUUGAAAUCUGAAAUCUGGAGGGUCUGAGGGCGUGCCUCUUGAAGAAUGACCCAGCGAGUUACUUUGUGUGGCGAGGCUAAGGGAGUGACACCCGGAGCCGCAGCGAAAGCGAGUCCGAACAGGGCGUGGCAAUCCGCAAGGAUUGCAAGUCGCGUGGAGUAGACCCGAAACCCGGUGAGCUACCCAUGGGCAGGCUGAAGUGACGGUAACACGUCAUGGAGGGCCGCACGCACAAAUGUUGCAAAAUUUGGCGAUGACCUGUGGGUAGGUGGUGAAAUGCCUAACGAACCGGGAGAUAGCUGGUUCUCCUCGAAAUAGCUCUAGGGCUAGCCUCACUCCGAGUUCGCAAGGACUCGCCGAACUAACGCAGGUAGAGCACUGGCAUGGCUCGGGCGCGUAGAGCGUACCAACCCAUUUCAAACUGCGAAUGGCGUUAGGGGGAGUGGGAGUCGCACCGUGGGGGAUGAGCUUCAUGGUGGAAAGGGAAACAGCCCAGACCGUCGGUUAAGGUCCUCGAGUUCACGCUAAGUGGGAAACGAUGUGAGCGUACUGAGACAGCCAGGAGGUUGGCUUAGAAGCAGCCAUCCUUGAAAGAGUGCGUAAUAGCUCACUGGUCAAGUGCGCUUGUGCGGAAAAUAUAACGGGGCUGAAGCGUGACACCGAAACCACGGAGUCAGUGGGGUAGUGCAAUAGUUGGAUAGUGCGAUAGUGGGCGUUGGCGACAAUCUCACUAACGGACUAUGUAACUAUUGCACUAUCGCACGACUGGUAGAGGAGCGUUGUCAACCUGGGAAGCCGGACGGUGACGACCGGUGGAGGGACGACAAGUGCGAAUGCUGGGAUGAGUAGCGAGAGCAGAGUGAAAAUCUCUGCCGCCGUAAGUCUGAGGGUUCCGCCGCAAGGGUCAUCCGCGGCGGGUUAGUCGGGCCUAAGCCGAGGGCGAAAGCCGUAGGUGAUGGACAAUCGGUCAACAUUCCGAUACCAUAGAUGAGGACAGAGGGAGAGACGCAGCCGGAUAGCCGAGCCUGCCCACUGGACAUGGCAGGUGCGAAGCGUCAACCUGACGAGACCUGUAGGCAAAUCCGCAGGUGGAGGGGAGACGUAAGCGGCGCCGUCAAGGCCACAAGUCGGUGAGUUCAUGCUGACGAGAAAAACUUCUAACGGAUGAAUCAUCUAUGCCCGUACCGCAAACCGACACAGGUGGACGGCAAGAGUAUUGCCAGGCGAUCGGGAGAACCUCCGUUAAGGAACUAGGCAAAAUGCACCCGUAACUUCGGGAGAAGGGUGGAUGCUGGUCGUGAGAGGAAACUUGGAGCGACUGGGAUUCGCAGCGAAGUGGCUCUACUGACUGUUUAACAAAAACACAGGUCUCUGCCAAAGCGCAAGCUGACGUAUAGGGGCUGACACCUGCCCAGUGCCGGAAGGUUAAGAGGAGAGGUCAAGGCGGUGGCAACAUCGCUGGACGCUUUGAAUCGAAGCCCCGGUGAACGGCGGCCGUAACUAUAACGGUCCUAAGGUAGCGAAAUUCCUUGUCGGGUAAGUUCCGACCCGCACGAAAGGUGUAACAAGUGGAGCGCUGUCUCAACGGGGGACCCGGCGAAAUUGAAUUCGUGGUGAAGAUGCCAUGUACCCGCAGUAGGACAAAAAGACCCCGUGGAGCUUUACUCUAACUUGGCACUGGAUGGGGGACGGUUGUGCGUAGGAUAGGUGGGAGCCGGAGAAACUGGGCUUGCGGGCUCGGUGGAGGCAGCGUUGAAAUACCACCCUCAAGCGUUUUCGAUUCUAAUCCCAAGCCGUAAGCCGGCUGGGAGACCAUGCCAGGCGGGGAGUUUGACUGGGGCGGUCGCCUCCUAAAAGGUAACGGAGGCGUCCAAAGGUUCCCUCAGGUUGAAUGGAAACCAACCGCAGAGUGUAAAGGCACAAGGGAGCUUGACUGCGAGAGUUACAACUCGAGCAGAGACGAAAGUCGGGCUUAGUGAUCUCACGGUAUGCGUGUGGAAGUGCCGUGACUUAUCGGACAAAAGCUACCCCGGGGAUAACAGGCUGGUGAAGCCCAAGCGUUCACAGCGACGGCUUCGCUCGGCACCUCGAUGUCGGCUCGUCGCAUCCUGGGGCUGGAAUCGGUCCCAAGGGUUGGGCUGUUCGCCCAUUAAAGCGGCACGCGAGCUGGGUUCAGAACGUCGUGAGACAGUUCGGUCUCUAUCCACUGUGGGCGUAGGAACUUUGCGAGGGGCUGGCCCUAGUACGAGAGGACCGGGCUGGACCGACCGCUGGUGUGCCAGUUGUCUUGCCAAAGGCAUUGCUGGGUAGCCAAGUCGGGCAGUGAUAACCGCUGAAAGCAUCUAAGUGGGAAGCACGCCUCCAGAUAAGAGUUCCGAUCUCUUCGUGAGAAGAGAGUAAGUGCGGUUGGAGACGACAACCUACAUAGGGUGGGCGUGUAAAAUGUGUGAGCAUUGAGCGAACCACUCCUAAUGCACGAGCGCUUGUUCUCG